rnacentral:tRNA from 1 species
GAACGUAUGGCUUAGUUGGUCAGUGGGCUUGGACGGUUUCUAAGAGGAGCGGGUUCAAAUCCCGCUAUGUAAA